GACGAACGCUGGCGGCGUGCUUAACACAUGCAAGUCGAACGGAAAGGCCCUGCUUUUGUGGGGUGCUCGAGUGGCGAACGGGUGAGUAACACGUGAGUAACCUGCCCUUGACUUUGGGAUAACUUCAGGAAACUGAGGCUAAUACCGGAUAGGAGCUCCUGCUGCAUGGUGGGGGUUGGAAAGUUUCGGCGGUUGGGGAUGGACUCGCGGCUUGUCAGCUUGUUGGUGGGGUAGUGGCUUACCAAGGCUUUGACGGGUAGCCGGCCUGAGAGGGUGACCGGCCACAUUGGGACUGAGAUACGGCCCAGACUCGUACGGGAGGGAGCAGUGGGGAAUAUUGCACAAUGGGCGGAAGCCUGAUGCAGCAACGCCGCGUGCGGGAUGACGGCCUUCGGGUUGUAAACCGCUUUCGCCUGUGACGAAGCGUGAGUGACGGUAAUGGGUAAAGAAGCACCGGCUAACUACGUG
rnacentral:rRNA from 1 species